GGGCCCUUAGCUCAGUUGGUAGAGCGGUCGGCUCAUAACCGAUUGGUCGCAGGUUCGAGUCCUGCAGGGCCCA
rfam:Aneurinibacillus sp. XH2, complete genome.